UGGCGGACGGGGGAGUAAUGUCUGGGGAAACUGCCUGAUGGGAGGGGGUAACUACUGGAAACGGUAGCUAAUACCGCAUAACGUCGCAAGACCAAAGAGGGGGACCUUACGGGCCUCUUGCCAUCGGAUGUGCCCAGAUGGGAUUAGCUAGUAGGUGGGGUAACGGCUCACCUAGGCGACGAUCCCUAGCUGGUCUGAGAGGAUGACCAGCCACACUGGAACUGAGACACGGUCCAG
rnacentral:rRNA from 1 species